AUGCUUUACACAUGCAAGUCGAACGGUAGAGGGGGCAACCCCUUGAGAGUGGCGAACGGGUGAGUAAUAUAUCGGAACGUGCCCAGUCGUGGGGGAUAACGUAGUGAAAAUUACGCUAAUACCGCAUACGAUCUAAGGAUGAAAGCGGGGGAUCGCAAGACCUCGCGCGACUGGAGCGGCCGAUAUCAGAUUAGGUAGUUGGUAGGGUAAAGGCCUACCAAGCCAACGAUCUGUAGCUGGUCUGAGAGGACGACCAGCCACACUGGAACUGAGACACGGUCCAGACUCCUACGGGAGGCAGCAGUGGGGAAUUUUGGACAAUGGGCGAAAGCCUGAUCCAGCCAUUCCGCGUGCAGGAUGAAGGCCCUCGGGUUGUAAACUGCUUUUGUACAGAACGAAAAGGUCUCUAUUAAUACUAGGGGCUCAUGACGGUACUGUAAGAAUAAGCACCGGCUAACUACGUGCCAGCAGCCGCGGUAAUACGUAGGGUGCAAGCGUUAAUCGGAAUUACUGGGCGUAAAGCGUGCGCAGGCGGUUAUAUAAGUCAGAUGUGAAAUCCCCGGGCUCAACCUGGGAACUGCAUUUGAGACUGUAUAGCUAGAGUACGGUAGAGGGGGAUGGAAUUCCGCGUGUAGCAGUGAAAUGCGUAGAUAUGCGGAGGAACACCGAUGGCGAAGGCA
rnacentral:rRNA from 1 species